rnacentral:rRNA from 1 species
CGGGCAGAUGACAAAGAGAGGAAGUGAGGAGGGGACUUGCCGGCUUGGGAGCAGGGAUAGGUAGGUAGAGAGAAGGAGACGGGGCACUCGGUGGCAGCACGAAGAGGAGGUGCGAACAACACGGGGCGGAGGUUGCGGUGGGUGCGCAGCGGCCGCGAGCCCUGCUUCGAGGUGACCGUGUAGCGGAUGUCGGCGGUUACCUAAGUUGGAGGUUGGGGUGGGGUGUGUGCCGGUCGCAACCUAGGCCCUUGCCACCUUCGUGCUUGGCCACUGACGUCUAGGUCGUGCCGACUCUGAAACCCCUACUUCCGGCAGCUGAUCUUUUAUUAGUUUCACGGGCAUGACGUUGUUACCUCUUCCAAUCACUACCCAGUACCUGUUUCUUGUUGGGGCCGUUCAUAAAGAUGUUCACGUUCGUAGUGACCUGAUCCUCCACAUUUAAGACAAUUACCCUUCGCCACAUGUAGUUCUUCACGAAACACGUUCCACCGGAUUCGACAAGUAGGUACGGCUGUUGAACGGGUUCUUAUUAUUCCGCGGAGAGUUACAGGAGAGGAGUAGCAACCCUAAGAGUCGGGUCGGCAACAAGACAUGGGGACGUAGUCCGAUGUACCUUAUACGAUUAAAUCCCUAGACACUUCGAUUAGGGGAUCUACAAGGGAUUGAUAGAUAGGUCCUUCAAAUCAUGGACGGUAUAUACACACAUUGGUCCCUAAAGGAAAUGGUUCUUAGACGGCCUUUCAAGUCCGGAUAGAGGACCUGUGACAUUUGUAAAAGUUUAAACUUAGAAGUUUGUGUGAUGGUAUUACCGUCAAUCACGUAAAUAUGAAGGGAUCUGGCCCUACACCGACUAGAGAUAUUAAAUGGACGAGCCUAUGUCUCCCUGACGUUAAGUCUACUGUUUUACGUCACUUGGUUCCACUCGGACAAUGUAUUUGUAACGGCUCUCUGGUUUAGUUUGCAACAAAACAAAUUUUAAAUAUUAUCGUUUCGUUCCUAAUGUAACCCGUCAGGAACUCGGUAAUAGUAGUCGUAACUGUCAGCUUAUAAGUCUUUGACGUGUGAUAGACUUAGUGGGAAAGAUGAGAAAUUGUCACCGUUCAUCGGUUCAUGUCAGUAGAGGGCUCGUCGUUUUUGUCGGCUCCCUCGGGCAUCAUCUAACUACUUAGGACGUUAGGGUGUGACACACGUGGAUUCCAAAAAAAAAUUUCGCACUCGUUGUACAAACUAAACUAAACCUUACUUCGGUCAAACCUGUUGUCUAAACUGUGCUCCUGAUCUUACCUCUUUGAACCACGGCUGAGGUAACGGUCUCGAUACGUACGAGGAGAUGUAGUACCGCGACUUAGAUCCUUCAGACGUCAUCUCCCCUGGGCCACUAACCGGUACUAACUAAAACCAAUUACCCCCGUCCUACAUCUUACCCCCUCUCUCUCGGAUUUAAUUAAAAAAAAGGACAAGCGGCCACGGACUGUACAUGGCGUUAGUUAACUAUAACCCG